rnacentral:rRNA from 1 species
GACGGGUGAGUAAUGCAUAGGAAUCUGCCCGGUAGUGGGGGAUAACCUGGGGAAACCCAGGCUAAUACCGCAUACGUCCUACGGGAGAAAGGGGGCUUCGGCUCCCGCUAUUGGAUGAGCCUAUGUCGGAUUAGCUAGUUGGUGAGGUAACGGCUCACCAAGGCGACGAUCCGUAGCUGGUCUGAGAGGAUGAUCAGCCACAUCGGGACUGAGACACGGCCCGAACUCCUACGGGAGGCAGCAGUGGGGAAUAUUGGACAAUGGGGGCAAGCCUGAUCCAGCCAUGCCGCGUGUGUGAAGAAGGCCCUCGGGUUGUAAAGCACUUUCAGCGAGGAAGAACGCCUGGUGGUUAAUACCCAUUAGGAAAGACAUCACUCGCAGAAGAAGCACCGGCUAACUCCGUGCCAGCAGCCGCGGUAAUACGGAGGGUGCAAGCGUUAAUCGGAAUUACUGGGCGUAAAGCGCGCGUAGGUGGCUUGAUAAGCCGGUUGUGAAAGCCCCGGGCUCAACCUGGGAACGGCAUCCGGAACUGUCAGGCUAGAGUGCAGGAGAGGAAGGUAGAUUCCCGGUGUAG